rnacentral:rRNA from 1 species
UUGGAGGGCAAGUCUGGUGCCAGCAGCCGCGGUAAUUCCAGCUCCAAUAGCGUAUAUUAAAGUUGUUGCAGUUAAAAAGCUCGUAGUUGAAUUUCGGGAUCAGAUUGUCGGUCGUGCCUCGGUACGUACUGGCAUUAUUGGUUCCUACCUUCUGAAGAACCGCGAUGUCAUUAAUUUGGUGUCGUGGGGAAUCAGGACUGUUACUUUGAAAAAAUUAGAGUGUUUAAAGCAGGCUCGCGCUUGAAUACAUUAGCAUGGAAUAAUGAAAUAGGACGUUUGACCCUAUUUUGUUGGUUUCUAGGAUCGACGUAAUGAUUAAUAGGGAUAGUUGGGGGCAUUAGUAUUCAAUUGUCAGAGGUGAAAUUCUUGGAUUUAUUGAAGACUAACUACUGCGAAAGCAUUUGCCAAGGAUGUUUUCAUUAAUCAAGAACGAAAGUUAGGGGAUCGAAGACGAUCAGAUACCGUCGUAGUCUUAACCAUAAACUAUGCCGACUAGGGAUCGGAUGAUGUUAAUUUUUUAAUGACUCAUUCGGCGCCUUACGGGAAAC